AGUCGAACGGGCUUGGGGGCUUGCUCCCGGGUUAGUGGCGAACGGGUGAGUAAUAUAUCGGAACAUAUCCGGAAGUGGGGGAUAACGUAGCGAAAGUUACGCUAAUACCGCAUAUGCCCUGAGGGGGAAAGGGGGGGAUCGCAAGACCUCUCGCUUUCGGAGUGGCCGAUACCGGAUUAGCUAGAUGGUGAGGUAAAGGCUCACCAUGGCGACGAUCUGUAGCUGGUCUGAGAGGACGACCAGCCACACUGGAACUGAGACACGGUCCAGACUCCUACGGGAGGCAGCAGUGGGGAAUUUUGGACAAUGGGCGAAAGCCUGAUCCAGCCAUACCGCGUGAGUGAAGAAGGCCUUCGGGUUGUAAAGCUCUUUCAGCCGGAAAGAAAUCGCACUUUUUAAUACGGAGUGUGGAUGACGGUACCGGAAGAAGAAGCACCGGCUAACUACGUGCCAGCAGCCGCGGUAAUACGUAGGGUGCGAGCGUUAAUCGGAAUUACUGGGCGUAAAGCGUGCGCAGGCGGUUUGAUAAGCCAGAUGUGAAAUCCCCGGGCUUAACCUGGGAACUGCAUUUGGAACUGUCAGACUAGAGUGUAGCAGAGGGGGGUAGAAUUCCACGUGUAGCAGUGAAAUGCGUAGAUAUGUGGAGGAAUACCAAUGGCGAAGGCAGCCCCCUGGGUUAACACUGACGCUCAUGCACGAAAGCGUGGGGAGCAAACAGGAUUAGAUACUCCUGGUAGUCCACGCUCUAACGAUGUCAACUAGUUGUUGGGGGA
rnacentral:rRNA from 1 species